CUACGGAGGGUGCAAGCGUUAAUCGGAUUUACUGGGCGUAAAGCGCGCGUAGGCGGCUAAUUAAGUCAAAUGUGAAAUCCCCGAGCUUAACUUGGGAAUUGCAUUCGAUACUGGUUAGCUAGAGUGUGGGAGAGGAUGGUAGAAUUCCAGGUGUAGCGGUGAAAUGCGUAGAGAUCUGGAGGAAUACCGAUGGCGAAGGCAGCCAUCUGGCCUAACACUGACGCUGAGGUGCGAAAGCAUGGGGAGCAAACAGGAUUAGAAACCCGAGUAGUCC
rnacentral:rRNA from 1 species